UACGGAGGGUGCAAGCGUUGUCCGGAUUUAUUGGGUUUAAAGGGUGCGUAGGCGGCCCGUUAAGUCAGUGGUGAAAGCCUCCAGCUCAACUGGAGAACUGCCAUUGAUACUGGCGGGCUUGAGUACAGACGAGGUAGGCGGAAUUGGAUUGUGUAGCGGUGAAAUGCAUAGAUACAAUCAAGAACACCGAUUGCGUAGGCAGCUUACUAGGCUGUAACUGACGCUGAGGCACGAAAGCGUGGGGAGCGAACAGG
rnacentral:rRNA from 1 species